AUAUAUAUAUAUAUAUAUACAAUAUGUAUUUUUUUUAGUUGUUAAUUAAACUUUUUUCCUUUUCCUUUUUUUAAAUAAUUUUUGUUUUCAAAAACGCGAUUACAAUUUUUUUUUUUGCAAAUAAUCUAUAUAUAUACACAUACAAACGCACGUUUAAUAUUACCUUUAUAUUUAUAUAAUAAAAAGGCAAGACAAAUAUGCCUUCUUAUUUUUGGCCUUAUUUAUUAUGUACCUUCCAUUUGAUUCUUAUUUUUUUUUUUUUUUUUAAUUCACUGUUUCAAAUAAACAUUUAAUAAUUACGCUUUUUUUUAGUAACGAAUUCGUAACAUUUUUUUUUAGUAACGAAUUCGUAGCACUUUUUUUAGUAACGAAUUAAUAGCACUUUUUUUUAGUAACGAAUUAAUAGCACUUUUUUUUUUUUUUAUAUGGUAAUUCGAAAUUUGUCAAUUAAAAAAGUGGGAAGGUACGGGAGUGCGGAACUAAAAAAAAAAAAAAAAGAGGAAUUUAAAAAAUAAAAAAUAUGUUACAAGUGUAGCAAAAGUUGUAAUAAAGAUGUAAAAAUAAACUUGCAAAGAAAAUAUGAACAAUAUUGCACUGGAAACACCAUUAUUUUCUCCUAAUAUAACGGAUGUGGAUUUUGACGUUUUCAAUUUAUGGCUAAAAGGACACAAUGAAGAAGAUGUAAUAAGAUUUUUGCUAAAAAUGUUUUAUAACAACAUGAUUAAAAAAAAGCGUAAUAACACUUGGGGAAUUGAAUUGUCACCUCCUAUGUGUAAGAAUGAGAAUUUAAUAAAAUGCAUUGAAAAGGGUAAAAUAAAAACAUUUAAAAAGAAGUUUAAUGAUAACAAGUUGGAUGACAGCGAUAAAGACAGCGAUAAAGACAGCGAUAAAGACAGCGAUAAAGACAACGAUGAUGACAGCGAUAAUGACAGUGAUAAUGAUAAUAUAGAAGACGAUUUUACUGAUAUGAAAAGAGGUGUGAAAUACCCUAAGUAUAUAUCUAAUAAUAAUAAUCGUUUUUUUAACGAUGUAAUACAUAUUUACGUAAAACAACAAUAUUAUAUCUAUAGCAUUAUAGAAUAUAAUUUAAAAAAAUUAGACAUACAAUUUUCUAAUUCACAUAUACCAAUUUGUAAAAAUAAAAUUAUAAAAUUAAUAAAACUAUAUUAUUAUAUUGAUUUCGAUUUAGAAGAAGAAAUUAUAAAACAUAAAAAUAUUAAUAAUUUAGGAAAAUAUACAAAAGAAUUUAGAAAAAUUACAAAUAUUCAUAAACGUUCAAUAAAAAGACAAAUAGAAAAUAUAAAAAGAUUAUGGAUAUAUAUAUUACAAGUUUAUGAAACAAGAUUUGUAAAUAUAAAUAAAUUUUAUAAAAGAAGAAAACUAUUUUGUUUUAAUAUAAUAAAAUUUUUUAAAAAUAAUUUACAAUUAUAUUAUAGUUGUUUAAGGGGAAAUACAGAAGUAGACAUGAAUGUUUAUUAUUACAACCGAUCAUUUGUAUUUAUAAAAAAAAGAAAAAAAAAAAGUAAAAAAAUAAUGGAAGAUGAAGAUGCAGAGAAGGUGGAAGAAGGAGAAGACAAUCGAACGAAUCAAACAGAGCGAAUAAGCGAACUAUAUAAAAAUAAAUCAAAAGUGAAAACUGGUACUAGUAGUAUAUGUAAAAGUACUAGUAAUACUACUAUUUUUCACAAAAAUACACAUAAUGAUCAUAACUUGAUAAAAAAUUUAGAAAGUAUGUUAGGUAUUUAUUUAGCAAAACGUUAUUUUCACUUAUUUUGGAUUAUUGUAUAUUACAUAGAAAUGCCUAAAAAAACUAACAUUCCUUACCCUUUUUUAAAUAAUAUAGUAUUAUUAUUAUUAGAAAAAUUACAAAUUAACGAUUUAAUAUUAUCAAAAGAAUACAUAAAUGUAAGUUAUCAAAUACAUAAAGCAUAUAAAGAUGUAAAAACGUUGGAGGAUUUGCAAAAAAGAUUGGAGUUUAAACAAAACACUGAUUAUUCUGUAAAAAUGAAGAUUGUUAACAGGUUUAGAUGGAUACUUAAUCUUUUGUGUAGUUUCAGAAAUGUAAGAACAUUUUUAACUAAUAUAUUGCCGUAUGUGCAAUAUCCAUGUAUAUAUGUA
ensembl:lncRNA